ACCACCGAUCUUUUCCAUGGCUGUUUAAAGUGGAGUGCUAAGACUUGUGUAAAUGGUCGACUGAUCACGUUGGCUUCAGCAUGUCUUCUCGCUAAAAGCACUGAAAUCUGCUUUACACCAGGAGAGCCUCCAUGAGGAAACAGCGCAAGAAAUAGUGAAAAGUCACCGGGUGGCAAGAGCAACAGCUCUUCUUUAACGUUCAUUACCUUCCACCAAAGGUGACACGGAAAGCCAACGGUCGCCCGAAGCGCGGAAACAGCGGGUCUAUGAAACUGUGAAUCAUGAGAUUAACAGGCCCCGUGAGAGCUGUGGCUGUGCUGCUGCUGGUGGGGCUCACAUGGCUGCUGGCAAACACCUUAUUUGGCGGGGAGACUGGUUCAUCUGUGCGACAUUUCUUCAGCGGUACAAGUGAGGACCCAACACCUGCUGAACCCCGUCCCCGAAGGUAUAAAUGUGGACUUUCAGCUCCCUGUCCCCCAAAACAUUUGGCUUUCCGCUUGGUAUCUGGUGCUGCCAAUGUCAUUGGACCCAAAAUCUGCCUUGAGGACAAGAUGUUAUUAAGCAGUGUGAAGAACAACGUUGGCCGAGGGCUAAACAUAGCUUUGGUCAAUGGAGUGACAGGAGAGCUCUUGGACACAAAGACCUUUGAUAUGUGGGCAGGAGAUGUUUCCAACCUGUUGAAGUUUCUCCGGCCGCUCCAUGAAGGAACGCUCGUGUUCGUGGCUUCCUUUGAUGAUCCAGCUACAAAAUUGAAUGACGAGUCUCGACGACUGUUUGAGGAGCUUGGCAGCACAGCAGUGAAGGAGCUGGGCUUUAGAGACAGCUGGGUGUUUGUUGGAGCCAAAGGCAUCGAGAACAAAAGUCCAUUUGAGCAGUCCAGCCAGGACAGGGAGAGGUUCCCGGGUGGCUGAUGGCCCAGCAGAGAGCAGCCUGAAUGGAAAGAGAGAACGUGGAGAAGACUAGGGAGAGAGAGGGAUUGACAGACAGGAGCGUCCUCUAGGUGGGACAUAAGCGUAUGAAGAACAGUAAAAGCAACAAUAAGUAUGAGGGUUGGCCUGAGUCUCUGGAGAUGGAUGGCUGUAUUCCUCUGCGGGCACCGCUGGAAGGAUAAUUGUGCCCGGUACUGCCACACGCAGUACAGUAACACCUGGAGCAGCAGCAGUGGAUCCAAAUGACCGUUAGAGAGCCAUGGAACUGCUGAAGGACUGAAACCAUCCAAGAUCUGGGCCACAGGCAACAUUUUAUUUUCCCUCUCGUGGCAGAAGCGUGAGCUGACUACAAAGGUUGUCUUGGGUCUUCAUAGAUUUCAAAUCGCUGGAACUUGUCAUCGAGGAUUUGUGAAUUAAGCUGUGUGAACCACUUCUGAACUGAAGCGAUGUUUUAGAAACAAGGAAAAUGUCUCACUUAGGUUAAGGGAAACUUGAGAGGGCAAAUGUUUGAUUACCAAAGUGUAACAGCGACUGGUGAAUGAAUACAGGCGGUGUAGGUCUUCCAGAGUGAUUUGUUGAAAUGGAUACGCUUCCUCUCUGCCAGUAGGGUGUCGAUAAUCUUGAACAGCAGGAAUAGGGACUGUUGAUUAAUGACACAGCAUUUAAUGUUCUGUGAGCUGUGGGGGACACCUGACUGAUUCCACACUAAGGUACUUGGAAACAUAAUCCACGUCAGCAUAGGAAAAUAAUUUGAAGUACGCUAGUAGUUUAUUUGUUCUACUCAGCACCAGGAGUGUGAGCACAUUUUGUUUUUUACUGAAAUAUAUUAAUAUAUUUUCAUCCUGCGAUAGAUGUAGAACUCAGUAAUACUACCUAGUGUUAGCUGCAAUUGUUUCCUUUUAACUUGAGCUGAAUUUAUUGCUUGCCACAUGUUUACAUUUCUGCAUCAUACUGGCAACCCAUGGUUUUAACGUCAGUUCAGACCUGCUAACAUCUUUCCACUGAGUGCUUUGUUUCAGGAUUGUGUGAUUUUGCUUGUGAACUGUUUUUUUUUUGUUGUUUGUUUGUUUUUUUUUUAAUGUGAAUGUAUCCACUAGGGCUCUUUCAAGCCCAACAUGUAGGAAAUAAAUAGAAUUAAAACAAUUAUUUCAAAUGUAUGAGUAGCUGCUUUGUCUAAAUUGUGUGUGUUACGUUAUUAUGUCAAGUGUGAAGAUUUUUCUACAGUCUUUAUAUUGUGGCGAUAAUGCUAAUUAAUAAAAAAAUGCCCAAUUUUG